CGGGAGGGGCGGUAGGGAAUCUUCCGACAGAGUCAGGACGAAGCUGACGGAGCACGCCCGCGUGAGUGAUGAAGGCUUUCGGGUCGUAAAACUCUGUUGUUAGGGAAGAACAAGUGCUAGUUGAAUAAGCUGGCACCUUGACGGUACCUAACCAGAAAGCCACGGCUAACUACGUGCCAGCAGCCGCGGUAAUACGUAGGUGGCAAGCGUUAUCCGGAAUUAUUGGGCGUAAAGCGCGCGCAGGUGGUUUCUUAAGUCUGAUGUGAAAGCCCACGGCUCAACCGUGGAGGGUCAUUGGAAACUGGGAGACUUGAGUGCAGAAGAGGAAAGUGGAAUUCCAUGUGUAGCGGUGAAAUGCGUAGAGAUAUGGAGGAACACCAGUGGCGAAGGCGACUUUCUGGUCUGUAACUGACACUGAGGCGCGAAAGCGUGGGGAGCAAACAGGAUUAGAUACCCUGGUAGUCCACGCCGUAAACGAUGAGUGCUAAGUGUUAGAGGGUUUCCGCCCUUUAGUGCUGAAGUUAACGCAUUAGCACUCCGCCUGGGGAGUCGGCCGCAAGCUGAAACUCAA
rnacentral:rRNA from 1 species